UUUGUAGCAAACAUGUUUGAGUGAAGGGUGUGUUUGAGUGUUUGUAUAUAAAUUAGAAUCCAGGGGUUUUUGUAUGUAAUGUUUGUGUUUGCAGGUUGUGUUGGUGUUUGAUUGCUGGGAUGUAUGCAUAUAUACAUGUUUGAUUGCUGGGAUGGUGUUUAAUUGCUGGGAUGUAUGCACAUAUGAUUGCUGUAAGUAUGUCACGUACAAACAUACAUAUGUACAUACGUACGUACAUACACAAACAAAUUAACACAGAGACACACAAAAACAUUGACACAUACACACACAGACACAAACAUACACACACAGACACAUG